GCGAAGGUGGCGGAAUUGGUAGACGCGCUAGCUUCAGGUGUUAAUGUUCUUACGGACGUGGGGGUUCAAGUCCCCCCCCUCGCA
rnacentral:tRNA from 1 species